GAUGAACGCUGGCGGCGUGCCUAAUACAUGCAAGUCGAGCGAACAGACGAGGAGCUUGCUCCUCUGACGUUAGCGGCGGACGGGUGAGUAACACGUGGAUACCCUACCUAUAAGACUGGGAUAACUUCGGGAAACCGGAGCUAAUACCGGAUAAUAUAUUGAACCGCAUGGUUCAAUAGUGAAAGACGGUUUUGCUGUCACUUAUAGAUGGAUCCGCGCCGCAUUAGCUAGUUGGUAAGGUAACGGCUUACCAAGGCAACGAUGCGUAGCCGACCUGAGAGGGUGAUCGGCCACACGGGAAGUGAGACACGGUCCAGACUCCUACGGGAGGCAGCAGUAGGGAAUCGUCCGCAAUGGGCGAAAGCUUGACGGAGCAAGGCCGCGUGAGUGAUGAAGGUCUUCGGAUCGUAAAACUCUGUUAUUAGGGAAGAACAAAUGUGUAAGUAACUAUGCACGUCUUGACGGUACCUAAUCAGAAAGCCACGGCUAACUACGUG
rnacentral:rRNA from 1 species